rnacentral:rRNA from 1 species
AUUGAACGCUGGCGGCAUGCCUUACACAUGCAAGUCGAACGGCAGCACGGGUGCUUGCACCUGGUGGCGAGUGGCGAACGGGUGAGUAAUACAUCGGAACGUACCUUAUCGGGGGGGAUAACGCAGCGAAAGCUGUGCUAAUACCGCAUACGCCCUGACGGGGAAAGCGGGGGAUCGAAAGACCUCGCGCGAUUAGAGCGGCCGAUGCCUGAUUAGCUUGUUGGUGGGGUAAAAGCCCACAAAGGCGACGAUCAGUAGCUGGUCUGAGAGGACGAUCAACCACACUGGGACUGAGACACGGCCCAGACUCCUACGGGAGGCAGCAGUGGGGAGUUUUGGACAAUGGGGGCAACCCUGAUCCAGCAAUGCCGCGUGAGUGAAGAAGGCCUUCGGGUUGUAAAGCUCUUUUGUCAGGGAAGAAACACCGGCUCUAACACAGUCCGGGAAUGACGGUACCUGAAGAAUAAGCACCGGCUAACUACGUGCCAGCCGCCGCCGUAA